rnacentral:rRNA from 1 species
UGCUGGAGGUAUCAGAAGUGCGAAUGCUGACAUAAGUAACGAUAAAGCGGGUGAAAAGCCCGCUCGCCGGAAGACCAAGGGUUCCUGUCCAACGUUAAUCGGGGCAGGGUGAGUCGACCCCUAAGGCGAGGCCGAAAGGCGUAGUCGAUGGGAAACAGGUUAAUAUUCCUGUACUUGGUGUUACUGCGAAGGGGGGACGGAGAAGGCUAUGUUGGCCGGGCGACGGUUGUCCCGGUUUAAGCGUGUAGGCUGGUUUUCCAGGCAAAUCCGGAAAAUCAAGGCUGAGGCGUGAUGACGAGGCACUACGGUGCUGAAGCAACAAAUGCCCUGCUUCCAGGAAAAGCCUCUAAGCAUCAGGUAACAUCAAAUCGUACCCCAAACCGACACAGGUGGUCAGGUAGAGAAUACCAAGGCGCUUGAGAGAACUCGGGUGAAGGAACUAGGCAAAAUGGUGCCGUAACUUCGGGAGAAGGCACGCUGAUAUGUAGGUGAAGUCCCUCGCGGAUGGAGCUGAAAUCAGUCGAAGAUACCAGCUGGCUGCAACUGUUUAUUAAAAACACAGCACUGUGCAAACACGAAAGUGGACGUAUACGGUGUGACGCCUGCCCGGUGCCGGAAGGUUAAUUGAUGGGGUCAGCGCAAGCGAAGCUCUUGAUCGAAGCCCCGGUAAACGGCGGCCGUAACUAUAACGGUCCUAAGGUAGCGAAAUUCCUUGUCGGGUAAGUUCCGACCUGCACGAAUGGCGUAAUGAUGGCCAGGCUGUCUCCACCCGAGACUCAGUGAAAUUGAACUCGCUGUGAAGAUGCAGUGUACCCGCGGCAAGACGGAAAGACCCCGUGAACCUUUACUAUAGCUUGACACUGAACAUUGAGCCUUGAUGUGUAGGAUAGGUGGGAGGCUUUGAAGUGUGGACGCCAGUCUGCAUGGAGCCGACCUUGAAAUACCACCCUUUAAUGUUUGAUGUUCUAACGUGGACCCGUGAUCCGGGUUGCGGACAGUGUCUGGUGGGUAGUUUGACUGGGGCGGUCUCCUCCUAAAGAGUAACGGAGGAGCACGAAGGUUGGCUAAUCCUGGUCGGACAUCAGGAGGUUAGUGCAAUGGCAUAAGCCAGCUUGACUGCGAGCGUGACGGCGCGAGCAGGUGCGAAAGCAGGUCAUAGUGAUCCGGUGGUUCUGAAUGGAAGGGCCAUCGCUCAACGGAUAAAAGGUACUCCGGGGAUAACAGGCUGAUACCGCCCAAGAGUUCAUAUCGACGGCGGUGUUUGGCACCUCGAUGUCGGCUCAUCACAUCCUGGGGCUGAAGUAGGUCCCAAGGGUAUGGCUGUUCGCCAUUUAAAGUGGUACGCGAGCUGGGUUUAGAACGUCGUGAGACAGUUCGGUCCCUAUCUGCCGUGGGCGCUGGAGAACUGAGGGGGGCUGCUCCUAGUACGAGAGGACCGGAGUGGACGCAUCACUGGUGUUCGGGUUGUCAUGCCAAUGGCACUGCCCGGUAGCUAAAUGCGGAAGAGAUAAGUGCUGAAAGCAUCUAAGCACGAAACUUGCCCCGAGAUGAGUUCUCCCUGACCCUUUAAGGGUCCUGAAGGAACGUUGAAGACGACGACGUUGAUAGGCCGGGUGUGUAAGCGCAGCGAUGCGUUGAGCUAACCGGUACUAAUGAACCGUGAGGCUUAACCUU